CAGUAAAUAGUUUAUUAAAAAUAUAAGUUUUGGGAAUUUAAGAAAGGAUAAUUUGUUCUUUUUACUGA
rnacentral:tRNA from 1 species